CACAACUUAUACAUUUUAAACACCAAUAAAACAUCCAACAAAAUGCCAUUACAGUUCAACCUAUACAUGCCAUUAUAAAAUUGGCCAAAACAUUCAAAAAUUACCGAUAUUUAUGCUAGAUAGUGUGAGAUCUUCGACGAGCUUUCAAUGAGCUUCCAGUAAUCUAUAAAACAUAGGAAAGAAACUAUGUAAGCAAUUAAUGUUUAGUAAGUUCGUAUAGUUCAAAACAUAACUUACCAUUUUAAUUUGCAUAACAUAAAGCAUAAGUACAUUAAAGUUCAAAUCAUAAGCUUGAUAUUAACCUAUACAUCACUAUCAGUACACAAGUUAGCACAUUUGUACAUAACUCAUUUGAACUAACCAUAUGAUAAGUCAUUUUCCAUAUGAAAUACAUCAUUUGAUUCAUACAUUCUUUCCAUAAGCUUAUGCAUAAUUCCAUUUGAAAACUUACCAUUUCAAUCCCUUUUCUUGCCUGUUAAACCAUCUAGAAUUUCAUCGGAUACUCGGGAAAGCUCACACGAAGUGUGCCUCAACAUAUAACCAUAACUUUCCUUUACAUCAUUGCUUACACGAGCUGUGAAAAGGGCCUGCUCACACGAGCUGUGGGUCGGAAUGUGAGCUACACGAUGCUGCUCACACGAGUUGUGGAGUAUCUGCAACAGAUGCAGGACCUCAGCCAUCAGUAGGACAUUCAAGACCAACACUCGAAACAUGAAAUCCUUAAUGACAUGUCAUUUGUAUCCUACGAAUUCCUAAGGUUCAAUCGGGACUCGAUAUCCGUUAAUUCAUCAUAGUAUUGAUAGGUUUAUACAUUGAUCAUUUGCAUUAUAAAUAACAUAAUAAUAUUCAAUUUAAAUACAUAAACAUGAUAGUCGUUCAUACGAACUUACCUCGAUAACUAAGGCAUAGAAAUUAAAUCGAGCUAAUCUGAAGCUUUGGUUUUGCCUCAAUCUAGGUCCGUACGUGAUUUAUCUUGAUCUAAAUAGAUAAUUAUAUUCAAUUAAGUACUGUAAUUAACCUCAAACAUUCAAUUCAAUCCACAUUUCAUAUUUAUGCAAAAUCACUAUUUUGCCCCUAACAUUUUAACUAUUCACAAUUUAGUCAUUAAGCUUACAAAUUGAAGUCUAAUCAUUUUAAUCCCUCUUAUAAGAUAACCAAAAUCUUUAGGGACUUAAUCCAACCCAAAUAAAUCAUCAUUUCAUAAAUUUAUCAUGAAUUUUUACUAAUUUUACAAACAAAUCCCUAAAUGCAAAUUUAAUCAAAAAUCACUUUACAAAACUUGUUUGUUUCUCAACAAAGCCUCAUAAUCUAUCAUUUAACAUCAAAAACCAUUCAAGAACAUUCAUGGCAUAACCCUCAAUCUUUAACAGUUUUACAAAUUGACUCAUGGACUAGCUAGAUUAAGUUAAAAUGAUCUCAAAAACAUAGAAAUAAUUAAAAAUAGGGUUCAAAAUCAUACCAUGCAAACAAGGAAGCUUGACCAAAUGCCCUAGCUAGCUUCAAUGGCG
rnacentral:lncRNA from 1 species